GUCCCGCAACGAGCGCAACCCCGCCGUUAGUUGCCAGCGGUUCGGCCGGGCACUCUAACGGGACUGCCCGGCGAAAGCGGGAGGAAGGAGGGGACGACGUCUGGUCAGCAUGGCCCUUACGGCCUGGGCGACACACGUGCUACAAUGCCCACUACAAAGCGAUGCCACCCGGCAACGGGGAGCUAAUCGCAAAAAGGUGGGCCCAGUUCGGAUUGGGGUCUGCAACCCGACCCCAUGAAGCCGGAAUCGCUAGUAAUCGCGGAUCAGCCAUGCCGCGGUGAAUACCGGUUCCCGGGCCUU
rnacentral:rRNA from 1 species